rnacentral:rRNA from 1 species
GUGCCAGCCGCCGCGGUAAUACGGAAUGUGCAAACGUUAUUCGGAAUCACUGGGCUUAAAGAGUCUGUAGGCGGUUUGUUAGGUGAGGUGUGAAAUCCCUCGGCCCAACCGAGGAAUUGCGCUUCAAACCGGCGAGCUAGAGGAGGAUAGAGGUGGGCGGAACUGAUGGUGGAGCGGUGAAAUGCGUUGAUAUCAUCAGGAACACCGGAGGCGAAAGCGGUCCACUGGGUCCUUUCUGACGCUGAUGGACGAAAGCUAGGGGAGCGAACGGGAUUAGAUACCCGUGUAGUCC